AUUACCCCAUUCCCGAUUCACUUGAAAGUUGUUUGGCGAAAUUCAAAUUUGAUCUUUUCCACUUCCAUCAACUUUGCCAGGUAAAUAAGUUGUGACGUUAUUUAGUCGAGAAACGCUGUAAGUAGCGUAUUUAUCAAUCGCAUCACGCAACGAUUGUUUUAAGUGAAUACCUUGGUAACCAUAACCCGGAGUAAUGACCCUGGAAGCCUCUUUUUCGUUGGCACUUUCUUUUAAACCGAAGGCCUUGCGUAAAUUAGCGUCACUUCUUAUAUCUUUUCAAUUAGCUUUUGUAAGUAUCUUUGCGGUAGUUUCCUUCCAACCUAAUAAAGUUAGAUAGAAGGUUCAAGCACGGUAGUUACUAAAAGAAACUUUCAGUGCCUUGUAUAACCCUGCACGGGUUUUAAUGUCAUCUGUCUUUUCAAAACCUAAUUUAAAGCGACCUUCGUUUGAUGUAAAGAAUUUAACAAAACCGUCAAGACUAUUAAGCGCAACUUUGAGAUCAUCUUGUGCUUUUUUGAGCUCAGCAUCGUUUUUUGCUUGUUCUCUUUGUUUCUUUUGUUGUUCUUCAAUUUCUUUUUGCAGUUUAGCAUCUUCCUCUGCCCGUCUUCGCUAUUCCUCUUC
rnacentral:sRNA from 1 species